rnacentral:rRNA from 1 species
GAUGAACGCUAGCGGCAGGCCUAAUACAUGCAAGUCGAACGGCAGCACGAGUAGCAAUACUUGGUGGCGAGUGGCGCACGGGUGCGUAACGCGUAUGCAAUCUACCCUUGACUGGGGAAUAGCCCCGAGAAAUCGGGAUUAAUACUCCAUAACAUCAUCGAGAGGCAUCUCUUGAUGAUCAAAGUUCUGGCGGUCAAGGAUGAGCAUGCGUGACAUUAGCUAGUUGGUGAGGUAACGGCUCACCAAGGCGACGAUGUCUAGGGGUUCUGAGAGGAUUAUCCCCCACACUGGUACUGAGACACGGACCAGACUCCUACGGGAGGCAGCAGUAAGGAAUAUUGGGCAAUGGACGCAAGUCUGACCCAGCCAUGCCGCGUGCAGGAUGACAGCCCUACGGGUUGUAAACUGCUUUUGUACGGGAAAAACCCCUCGCUCGUGAGCGAGGCUGAUGGUACCGUAAGAAUAAGGAUCGGCUAACUCCGUGCCAGCAGCCGCCGUAAGAC